rnacentral:lncRNA from 1 species
AGAAGAUGCUCCCUGACAAGCCUAUAUUGGGUGGAAGAGAAGCUUCCCAUGCCUGGUUUAUGAAUAUGGCCUUGAAAAUGUCAACAGAUGUAUUGUCUUGUUGAGUCUGCAGCCAGGAAAGCAGAAAUCAAUGGCAGCAAAGCAGGUGUGAAUGUCCCCCGACUUCAGAGGCAGUUCACUUUGAAGCUGGAAAAUCAAGGACGCUGGUACCUUCAAGGAAACAAGAAUAUAAUUAUCACAACACCCAAUUUGCCAGUGACCUUCCAUUCCUCAGGCCUGCCCUACUCCCUUCGCUGGCACCAACCCAGGUCCUCACAGACUGAACUCUGUGUCCCAGGCUGCUCAGAUGGAGGAGCAACCCACUCAAGCACCCUUUGAAAUUAUUCUUAAUCUCUUUCUACUACACUGCUUUCACUGACAUAAAUCCGCCAGCCCAAGGGGCCUCAGACCCCUCCACGGAGGGAGGCCCAUUCAGGCCAAGUGGAGUCAGAGCAGCUAAGCUGCAGAAUUUAUGCUUCCUCUCACCUGCGCCGUCUGUCUAUGGCCUCAGCUCUGGUCUGUUUUUGAAGGUUUGAGCAUAACCCUGCAGCUUCUUGCCAAGUUGGCCAUCAUCACCUCUGUCAUAGAAGCAGAUUUCGCAAGGCCAUUGGAAGCUAAUAACAGCGACUUUUAACUUCAUUAUUGUAUUUGAAACGUUGAAAGCAGAAGCCUAAUAAAAAUGAGUUCAGG